GAGAGUAUAGCUUAGCGGUAGAGUGCGUACUUAGCAUGCACAAGGUCCUGGAUUCAAUCCCCAGUACAUCCA
rnacentral:tRNA from 1 species